rnacentral:lncRNA from 1 species
UUUUUUUAUCAUACUUCGAUCGAAAUAUUAGAGUGGCCCUGAUAGUCGUACAAGAGUCGCAGAUCCAGACAUACAAAGGAUGGAAAAGAACGAAGCAAAGGAGAUAAAUGAAUACCCAAUUAAUCAUAUAACAGACUCAUGUUUACCACCAUUUGAUACAUAAGGUCAGAUUUUAUUUCUUUUGUUACAUUUUUAUUUUCUAUUUAAUACAUAUUGUGCUUGUAUUAGAGCUAUUUUUUUUCGAUACAUUUUGAUGAUAUAGAAAGGAUAUAGUGAGUUGAUACAUUUUAGUUGUGAAACUAUGUUAUAUUUCUUUCAUUCAUGAUAUCAUUUUUUGAUACAUUCAUUGUCAUUCGAUACAUUUUCAAUUGAUACAUAUGAAAUUUAGUUAAUUCUGUGAUACAUUUUAUAUGUGCACCUAUUGGUACAUUAUUGCCGGUGAGAAACAAUAUGUGUAAUACUAAUAAAAUUUUGUUGAUGCAUUUUAUAUAUGUAUCAGUUUUUUUAUAUUUACUGCUUAUCAAACAUUUAUUUCAUACCGACCAGAAAACACUAAAUCCACCACCCAACACAAUUUCAGUGAAAUCAGAAUCAUUUAUUCUUCUGACGAAAUUAAAAUCGCCGAACAACCAUAAUUCCAAUGAAAUUUGAAUCGUCAAUAUUGUUGUUCUUUUAAAUUUAAAUAUUAGAAAGUUAAAACUCAAGGGAAAAAGAAGAAAAGAUUAAUAGAGAGGGAAUAAAUUAAGUCAAAUUGUAAAUUCCAAACUGUAGAAAUCGUUUGUCAUCUAGUUUAUUGAAUCGAAAAAAUCAACCGCAGGAAUUUCCCAUUUUAAGUGUUGAAAAAAAAUAAAAAUUGAAGGUAGCGGCGGCAAUAAGUUGCUGGCCGGAAAUUAAAAUUGAGAGAGUAUUUUGUUGAUUGUUAAUAAUGUUAGUUGGGGGAGAAGGUCUAAUAAAGGAGCUCAAAUCGUUUUAACAUGAUACUCCUCUAAAUAAAUGUGAUUUAUGUUAUUUCUUUAUUUGAGUUAUUGAUUAUUUGAAAAUGUAUCCAAACAAAUAUGUAUCACUAUUAAAAAUAUCUAUAUAAAAACCCCAUUUAUGAAAUUUUAUGUAAUUAGGAAAAGUUGUGGUAAGAUUUGCAAUUGACUCCUUAUAUUAUGAGAUUUCUGUAAGUUACUUUUUUUUUUUUUAAUCUCGAUUAUCUUGUUACUUUCUAUGCUUUAAUUUAUUUGUAUGGUAUUAACUUAGACACAAAAUAUAAGAAAAUAAAAUAAAUUCAGGCGCUUCAUCUUUCUUUACUUUAUGAAAAUACAUUGGAUAUGUUGUUGAAUUUUGCGAUCUUAAGUUAAGGCUAUGUAGAAUGUUACAAAUAUUUUAUAACUUUGUGAUUUUGAACAUGUUAUGUGACAAAUUAAAAUUAGAAAGUUGUCAAAAUAAAAAAAAAAGGAGGCAAGUCUUUUGAGAAAAUCUAUCAAAAGAAAAAAGAGUAAGACAAAUAAGUUAAAAUGAAGGACGUACUUUGCUAUUAUUUCUUGAUGUUAUCGUGACUUUCCUUCUUUUUUUGAGUCGAACGUUUAUGGAAGAAAUCUUUUUACCUUAAGGCAGACAAAAGAUCUGCAUACAAAUUAUCCUUCUCUGAUUUUAAUUGUGAGUUGUGGGAUUUCAAUGAGUUUGUCGUUGUUAGAAUUUUAAUUUUAAGUUUGAGGUUUCCAAUUCUCUAAAAUUUAAAUUUAAUCCAUAAUUUUAAUUUUUUUUUUUAAAAAAACGCAUUAUCAAUAUAAACAUAAUUUCUCAAGCCUAGUAUAGUUUUUACUUGACCAAUUUAUAUUUAUAAAAAAUAGAGAAAAGACAUGAAAUCACCUUUAAACUUAUCCCUACCACCUUUAACUUCAUGGACAAUUAUUUAUCCCCUUUUAACAACUUUAUAGUAAAUUAAAUACCACCUUAAUAAUAUAAUACCAUUCUCACAAAGAUAUGUGCAUUACAUACGCACCUCGUCACUGUCAUGUCACUGUCACGGCAAAAAUUAAUUUUAAAAAAUGGUACCACUAUUAUAUAUAUAUAUAUAUAUAUAUGUAUGUAUAUAUAUGUGUGUGUGUGUGUGUAUGUAUGUAUGUAUGUAUAUAAGCCCUUCAUUAAAAUACUCCAUAAUAGACAAAAUCAUCUUUUCACUAUUUGUUUAAAUUAUUAUUUAACUAUUUUAAUAAUAUUAACUAUAAUAUUGAAUCCUAAAAUAUAUAUGAAAAGAAAAAAUUAAGAGUCCCAAAAUAUAUGGUAACAAACAAAUAUUAGGGUAAGAAGAAUUAAAAAAUAAAAAUACUAAACUCCUAAGAUUUAGGAACCAUACGUGUGUAUGACUUUAAUUUUUUUUUUUUUAAAUAAGACAAUGAAACCUAUUUUUUUCUUGAAUAAAAAGCAAAACAAAAGUCUAAAAGAACUAUAAACAAUGUACAGUAAAUGUCUAUUUGUAGUAGUUUAUUAUUUUUGAAAUUUUUAUUCUUCUAAAGUGGUACUUAUUUAUGGAAAAAAAUAUAAAUUUACUAUAUUUAGAUAAUUUCUUUGAAAAUGUUUUAGACUUCUAUAAAUUGAGAAUUCUUUUACAACAAUACAAUAACAUCUUCAAUGAACAUGUGAAAAAUAAAAAAAUAACUUUUGUUCUUAGAUUAUUCUUUAUUGUUUGCUUUAGAAUUAUUUAUUAAAUCAAGAAAUAUGUUUGUUAUAUUUAAUUUACUUUAAGGUGCAUUGAUUUUGUAGGUAUCUUGAUGAUCCGAAUUUUGAAAGGUGAUUAAUUUCGC